rnacentral:sRNA from 1 species
UUUUAGCCCCGAUUGCAGUGGAAAUCCCACGCUUUUGGGCGUGGAUUGCAACGGAAAGCGGGAGGAUAC